GAAGGGAGGGAGGGGAGGGGAGGGGAGGGAGGGAAAGAAAGAAAGAAAGAAAGAGGGAGAGUAAGGGAGAGAGGAAGGGAGGAAGGAAGAAAAAAGUCAUGCUAACCAGAUCUCUUUUACAAAAGAAAAGUCAUUACUUGGAAAAUUAAAAGAAACUGGUAUGCGGAUGCUAAGAGGCUAAAGGUUGAGGGGCUGUCGAUGGACGCUGCCCAGUGAAAUGACUAUCGCCGGGCCUGGUGGGCAGCAGUUGCCAACCCACCGCGGACAAUCCCAGGUCCGUGGAGUGCAUGCAGGUUUGACAUAAGCCAAACCCCUGCUGUCCGGCUCGUCGCACUGACCCUGCCAAUGCAACAAACGCGCAGACCCUCUCCGCGCGGUGAGGAGCGGAGUUGCCGCCGCCGUUCAGCGCUUCCCAGGAAAUGCGCGUCCGGGGGAGGCUCAGUUCUCUUCCAGAGGUUUGAUAUCCUGUCUUAGCUGGGGCUGGGCAGGUUCAUGGUGUGAUCCAAAGCUGAGCGUCACCUACACAGAGUGCUAGUUUAUAGCAAGAACUGACUCCGGGGUACUCUCCAGUUCCAUGCCUAUGAUGUAGUCAUCAGAGUUGCAAAGAAUUUCUUCAUAAGGUUCUAAAAUUGGAUUACGGUGAUGGUUGCACAACUCCAAAUAUACUAAAACCAUUGAACUUUCAACAGGCGACUUAUGGAACAAGAGGAUUCAUCUGACUUAACUGGCGAUGGCUCCCUUCCCCAUUUAUUAUGCCAUUCCUAAAGCUUCCCUCCUACCGGGCUCAGUGAGAGCUAUGGAGGAGACACCCACCUCAGAGGAGCUCUGUGAAAAAAUUACUGAGACACUAAGAUGCUGUGAAUUGGGAAAGAUUGGGAACCUCAAGAUUAGAGCUAUACAAACUGUCUCAAAGGGCAAAGGUGGAUUUUAAUGGCUUAAGCUCAAUGGUAAUUUUUUGUUGUUUUUCUUUUUUGCGGUACGCGGGCCUCUCACUGUUGUGGCCCCUCCCGUUGCGGAGCACAGGCUCCGGACGCGCAGGCUCAGCGCCCAUGGCUCACGGACCCAGCCGCUCCGCGGCAUGUGGGAUCUUCCCGGACCGGGGCACGAACACGUGUCCCCUGCAUCGGCAGGCGGAUUCUCAACCACUGAGCCACCAAGGAAGCCCUCCGCAGUCAUUGGAACCUCAAUCAUGAAUUUGGCUUACAUGUCCAGUGCCAUUGCUGGGUCUCCUUUCUAUUAUUGGUAAAGAAGCUCAUGAGAUUCUGCAUAACCUUUGGACGGCAUCCUCCUGUGGACACUUCCUCUCCUGCAAUAAUUUUGUUAUUAUCAAGAUUCUGUUCAGAACUUCAGACUUAGGUAAUAAGAGAGUACCACCUGAGGGGGGCAAUCUCCCACCUAGAACAAUAAGAUCAUGGAAUUGCAGGGAACCCUUGGUAAUCAUUUAGUUUAAUUUCUCAAGCGAAGCAGACAUCCUUUCUGUACCACUUCUGACAGAUACUAGUAGCUAAUGUUUAUUGAGCAUAGACCAGUUACUGUCUUAAAGAACAUUGAUACAGAUGAACCCAUUGAAUCCUUUGUAACCUUAUGGGUACAGUUACCAUCAUGCAUCUUUCAUAGAUGGAGAAAUAGUGCAAUGCCUGUCUAAGUCAUACAAGUAAUAAGGGGCACAGUCAAGAUUUGAACCCAUUGUCAGGCCAUUGUCAGAAGCAGAGCUUUUAGCAACCGUGCUAUGCUAUGCUACCUUUGUAGUUAGCCAACAUUUAUGUGGAGACUUCCAGGAGUAGGAAUUCACUCCACUGUGAACUGGAUACUAGCCAUUUUUCCUAGUUCCAGCCUGUAAAACUAUACAGAAUAGCCUGCUCCAACUUCCAUAGACAGUCAUUCAAAUAUUUUCAAAGACUAAGAGUAAUUUUUUUCUGUUCAUAAAAAUAACAUAUGCUCAUUGUAGAAAACUUGGAAAAGUUCAGAAGAGUAUAAAGAAAAUAAGAAUCCUUGAUAACCAAGGAGAAAAUAAAUGUUAACUGCCAAGAAUCCAUUAGCGUUUUGUUGUUGUUUUUCAUAUCUGUAUUUCAUUAAGGACCCAUGUAAAACCUGUGUCCAGCCAAGACGCCUAGUUCUCUGUCACAUGACCUUCCAUCAAGCCAGAUUUUUUUCCUUUAUAUAAAAUCCUAAAUGUA